UCAUAUGCUUGUCUCAAAGAUUAAGCCAUGCAAGUGUCAGUUCAUGCCAAACUAAGGUGAAACCGCGAAUGGCUCAUUAAAUCAGUUAUAGUUUACUUGAUGGCAUGACGUUACCGUUACUUGGAUAACUGUGGCAAUUCUAGAGCUAAUACAUGCACUCGAGUCCCGACCGUUCGCGCGGAAGGGAUGCUUUUAUUAGAUCAAAACCAAUCGGGAAAUCGGAACUCCGUUCCGACGUACCGUGCAGUCUUGGUGACUCUGGAUAAAUUGUCGCUGAUCGCAAGGUCAUAGCGCCUGCGACGCAUCAUUCAAAUGUCUGACUUAUCAACUAUCGACGGUAUGCCACGUGCCUACCGUGGUGGUAACGGGUAACGGGGAAUCAGGGUUCGAUUCCGGAGAGGGAGCCUGAGAAACAGCUACCACAUCCAAGGAAGGCAGCAGGCGCGCAAAUUACCCACUCCCGGCACGGGGAGGUAGUGACGAAAAAUAACGAUGCAGGACUCCGUUUUGAGGCUCUGCAAUCGGAAUGAGAAGACCCUAAAUCAUUUACCGAGUAUCCAUUGGAGGGCAAGUCUGGUGCCAGCAGCCGCG
rnacentral:rRNA from 1 species